GUACUCCCACUGCUACCUCCAACUACAUCGCAUCUCAUGCUUCCGCAUCUGCACUCCAUGCCGUUUAUCAUCCCUAAACUGCACUUGAAACAACGCUCCCUUGUUGACUUUCCCUCAACAACAUCAGGAAGACUGAUUCUGAGCUCAAGAUUCAAAUCUGGCAACUUCUCUUCAAUUAGGAACUCGUCCUUUUCCUCUUUGAACUGGAAGAUGAUUAAGGCAUUUGGUGGGGCACUUGGAUUUUGGGUUUGGUUGAAGGUUCAAAGCUUUGGUGUAUAGUUUAUAUAAGGUUUUGACUUAAAGCUGUAGAGCGAUACAUAUACAUAGAUUGUAUACAAUUGCUUCUAGAUGAUAGAGGCGUAGAGGUAGAGAGAGAGAGAGAGAGUUGAACUUUAUAAUUGCUUCUAGAUGUGGGUUGGUGGGAUGGAUUUGAAUGGGUAGUGUAUGGUGGCCUUUCGUUUUGGUA